AUUGAACGCUGGCGGCAGGCCUAACACAUGCAAGUCGAGCGGAUGAAGGGAGCUUGCUCCUGGAUUCAGCGGCGGACGGGUGAGUAAUGCCUAGGAAUCUGCCUGGUAGUGGGGGAUAACGUCCGGAAACGGGCGCUAAUACCGCAUACGUCCUGAGGGAGAAAGUGGGGGAUCUUCGUACCUCACGCUAUCAGAUGAGCCUAGGUCUGAUUAGCUAGUUGGUGGGGUAAAGGCCUACCAAGGCGACGAUCCGUAACUGGUCUGAGAGGAUGAUCAGUCACACUGGAACUGAGACACGGUCCAGACUCCUACGGGAGGCAGCAGUGGGGAAUAUUGGACAAAGGGCGAAAGCCUGAUCCAGCCAUGCCGCGUGUGUGAAGAAGGUCUUCGGAUUGUAAAGCACUUUAAGUCGGGAGGAAGGGCAGUAAGUUAAUAACUUGCUGUUUUGACGUUACCAACAGAAUAAGCACCGGCUAACUUCGUG
rnacentral:rRNA from 1 species